ACCUGGCUGGCUCAGUUGGUGGAGCAUACCACUCUUGGAGUUGUGGGUUCAAGUCCCACGCUGGGUA
rnacentral:tRNA from 1 species